rnacentral:rRNA from 1 species
UACGAAGGGGGCUAGCGUUGUUCGGAAUUACUGGGCGUAAAGGGCGCGUAGGCGGCGUGUCAAGUCAGGCGUGAAAGCCCCGGGCUCAACCUGGGAACCGCGCUUGAGACUGGCAUGCUCGAGUUCGGGAGAGGAUGGUGGAAUUCCCAGUGUAGAGGUGAAAUUCGUAGAUAUUGGGAAGAACACCGAUGGCGAAGGCAGCCAUCUGGACCGACACUCACGCUGAGGCGCGAAAGCGUGGGGAGCAAACAGG